rnacentral:rRNA from 1 species
UCAGCGGCGGACGGGUGAGUAAUGCCUAGGAAUCUGCCUGGUAGUGGGGGACAACGUUUCGAAAGGAACGCUAAUACCGCAUACGUCCUACGGGAGAAAGCAGGGGACCUUCGGGCCUUGCGCUAUCAGAUGAGCCUAGGUCGGAUUAGCUAGUUGGUGAGGUAAUGGCUCACCAAGGCGACGAUCCGUAACUGGUCUGAGAGGAUGAUCAGUCACACUGGAACUGAGACACGGUCCAGACUCCUACGGGAGGCAGCAGUGGGGAAUAUUGGACAAUGGGCGAAAGCCUGAUCCAGCCAUGCCGCGUGUGUGAAGAAGGUCUUCGGAUUGUAAAGCACUUUAAGUUGGGAGGAAGGGUUGUAGAUUAAUACUCUGCAAUUUUGACGUUACCGACAGAAUAAGCACCGGCUAACUCUGUGCCAGCAGCCGCGGUAAUACAGAGGGUGCAAGCGUUAAUCGGAAUUACUGGGCGUAAAGCGCGCGUAGGUG